AUCGGACAUCUUAGCAACAGGCUUUCUCCUAGCUCCUGUUCAAGACCUACAUGUGGACCAAUCAAGACCCCUGUGCAGUUGGAAGCAGCUCCCCACACAGAUAUCGUAGAGAUAAGUGUCAUGGAAGUUAAAGGAUAUGCUGUUAGCCGAUGCUUAUCUCCAAUCAAAUACCUCCAUGGUACCAACAUGUCUCAUCCACCCUAGCGCACAUACACAGCUUCAGUCGUGACAUUUGUCAUAGAUACAGGCAAUUUCAGAUAUGCCUGAAGAAUUAAGAAGCUUUCCUAUCCCAGUAACUCUGAUUUCAAAAUGAGACUUCAAGGGAAGAUUUUGAGAAACGCAGAAGUAUAAUAAAGCAGAACAGAUGUUAUUAUACAAAUGCUUCAUUGCUCUCUCAGUGGAAACAGCCUCCAACAUGGGUUUUAGAUCACGCUAGCUAUGAGCCAUGAUCUUUGAUCAAGAAAAAUCUAGUUGGUAGUAUUUUCCAAAAAAAAUUUUUAGAUCUCUUUAGUAAUAACAAAAGGAAUCCAGUUACUUUUAAGUGAUAGUCUAAUUCCUACAGAAGCAGAGGAACUUUAAGCCAAAAUAUAAAAACAAUAAAUUAAAGCAUUAACUAGAAAUCCCCAGGCAUCCAGGCAUCUUGACAAAAUGCUGACUUUACCGUCCUCUGGUGUCAUUUUGACUUGAAGCCCAUCAGGUGACUCAUAUUCCAAUGACUGCCACAGUGUCUCUGGUCCAAAUUGCUACAGGGUAGGGAAGUACUCUCUAGAUACUCAAAGCGAUUAAUAAACCCUGUUCAGAAAAACUUGUAACGGCCACACCUUGAGGAAGACACAGUGUCUCAUAUGAGCCCUUCUUGGAAUGGAUCUACAUUCUGCCUGAAUCUUAAAAGCAAAAGCAAAACAAACAAUUUUGAAAAUGGAUUAUAGUUGCUCACUUAGUUUUUUGUGCGUGUGUGCAAUGAUAUUGGGCAUUUAUUCAAAACAUUGUUAAUUUCUUCUUACCUGGAGAUGAGAAUGCCUAUAGGGUUAUUCUUGAGGGUGAUACCACAGAGUUUAGAGUAUGCUCCGUUCCCUGAGGUCUCUCUGUGUUCAAGCUCCAUCACUGGGAGAAAGUGCUCUGGACACUGCCAUAUGGGAUGCAGGAGUGUGGGGCAACAUUUAGGUACAAAACCACACUCACCUAAAAAUCACUACUAUACAAUAAUAUGGAAAAUUCUACUGAGAUAAGAUUUUAAAGAAAUGUUCAUAGUAAUUUAUAAUUUUAGCCGUUACUUUUAACUGACUUCUGCAGGCUCCUGCACAUGGAGGCAACUGCUCCAUUGCUCCACCUCCACCAGGAAGAGAGAGAAUGAAGGAUUAGCAAGUCCUUAUACAUCUUCAGAGGACUAUUUGUGAGAUGCAGGCAACUCAUAACCACUGUCAGCUGGAAAACAGUGAAGAGGCCUGAUGGGUCUCAGUCCAUAGACUUCAGAGAGCAUGCCUAGUGUGUAUGAAGCCCAGGCUUCAUCUCCAAUACAUAAA